rnacentral:lncRNA from 1 species
AAGACCGAUAUGUAGGAUAAAGUAAAAUUCGUAUUUCUCAUAAUCAUUAAUACCGGGUCUGUCUGUCUGCUCUUGUCUUGUAUUGUGCUGACUUUGAUGAUUUUUUUUAUGACUAGAUUUAAAUAUAGUGACAGUGCAGUAUUAUACUUUAAGUACUAGUACUGCUUAAUUCGACACUAGGGACCAUCUUGACCUUCUUUUACAGUAUAAUGAUUCUUUUAUUAUUGAGUACCUCCAGCAACUAUCAAG